AAUGAACGCUGGCGGCAUGCCUAACACAUGCAAGUCGAACGAAGGCUUCGGCCUUAGUGGCGCACGGGUGCGUAACGCGUGGGAAUCUGCCCUCAGGUUCGGAAUAACAGCGAGAAAUUGCUGCUAAUACCGGAUGAUAUCGCGAGAUCAAAGAUUUAUCGCCUGAGGAUGAGCCCGCGUAGGAUUAGCUAGUUGGUGUGGUAAAGGCGCACCAAGGCGACGAUCCUUAGCUGGUCUGAGAGGAUGAUCAGCCACACUGGGACUGAGACACGGCCCAGACUCCUACGGGGGGCAGCAGUGGGGAAUAUUGGACAAUGGGCGAAAGCCUGAUCCAGCAAUGCCGCGUGAGUGAUGAAGGCCUUAGGGUUGUAAAGCUCUUUUACCCGGGAUGAUAAUGACAGUACCGGGAGAAUAAGCUCCGGCUAACUCCGUGCCAGCAGCCGCCGCAG
rnacentral:rRNA from 1 species